UACGGAGGAUGCAAGCGUUAUCCGGAAUGAUUGGGCGUAAAGGGUCCGCAGGUGGCAGUGUAAGUCUGCUGUCAAAGAAUGAGGCUUAACCUUAUCAAGGCAGUGGAAACUACACAGCUAGAGUGCAGUAGGGGUAGAGGGAAUUCCCGGUGUAGCGGUGAAAUGCGUAGAGAUCGGGAAGAACAUCGGUGGCGAAAGCGCUCUGCUGGACUGCAACUGACACUCAGGGACGAAAGCUAGGGGAGCGAAUGGG
rnacentral:rRNA from 1 species